ACUCCUGCGGGAGGCAGCAGUGGGGAAUAUUGGACAAUGGGCGCAAGCCUGAUCCAGCCAUGCCGCGUGAGUGAUGAAGGCCCUAGGGUUGUAAAGCUCUUUCACCGGUGAAGAUAAUGACGGUAACCGGAGAAGAAGCCCCGGCUAACUUCGUGCCAGCAGCCGCGGUAAUACGAAGGGGGCUAGCGUUGUUCGGAUUUACUGGGCGUAAAGCGCACGUAGGCGGACUAUUAAGUCAGGGGUGAAAUCCCGGGGCUCAACCCCGGAACUGCCUUUGAUACUGGUAGUCUUGAGUUCGAGAGAGGUGAGUGGAAUUCCGAGUGUAGAGGUGAAAUUCGUAGAUAUUCGGAGGAACACCAGUGGCGAAGGCGGCUCACUGGCUCGAUACUGACGCUGAGGUGCGAAAGCGUGGGGAGCAAACAGGAUUAGAUACCCCGGUAGUCCCAUGAU
rnacentral:rRNA from 1 species